CAACCUCUGUUAAUGGAGGUCAAAAUUCAGGAGAAAAAAAGAAAAGAAAAUUCCAAAUUAAACGACGAAGCAAAACAAGUAAGACCAGAGAAAUCAAAAUUAAAUAAGAAAAUAAAAUGAUUACUGAUGAUAAGCCUUCAAGAAAGGUAGACUUUCAUCAUUAUUGAAUCUUGACAAGCCUUCAAGAAAGGUAGACUUUCAUCCAUGAGUAUUAACAGCUUCCCACAACAAAUUUUUAGGGACGGGGUUGGACAGAUCCCUAGCCUGCUGGGCAACGUUCCUGAGUCUCCUGAUUGUCCACACAUUGGCUUCCCAGAAGGACAAACUCCUGUAAGACAA
rnacentral:lncRNA from 1 species